ACGACUUUUUAUGGACUUGACAAGGCAUUUACCUUGAAUUGCCCGUUUCAUUCGCAGUGGAAUAUAAGAGCAAAAGACGUAUGCAAUAUAUCAGACAGGUAUCUUUGUUUAUACGAUGCAAAUAAAAUGCUGAACGUUGAAGCAUGCAAAGACGAACCACAGUUGGAUGCGCCUGGUUUCAAAAUACAAAUAGUUGGAAGUUUGGAGGGUGUACAAUGUGAUACUGAUCGAUACUAACCUUUCAAGUUCUGGACGAAUGGUAGUGGCCUUUGCAAAUACGAAAAAUCAUUAUGCAAUGGCGAAGGACAAGUACCAUUUUCUUCGGGUACAAAUAAAAAAGACAGAGCGUGUAGAUGUGAUUACACAGAAGGAUAUGAUUUUGUAGUUACACCAAAAAACACGUGCUACUGUAUACCGUCUAAAGAAGACUGCUCUUGUUUCAUCAGAGAGUGUCCCAGUGGAUUUGUUCUCUCUCCAGAUUUUAAUUGUGCAGCAGUGGAAGAGUUGCUAGCAAGUUCACAGUGUCCCUUAAGAACGAUUAGCGGAGAAAAGACUAAUACACCAAUUUUGGCUAAAGACGUGAAAAGCGAUAAACAUGAUUAUUAUAAUGUGCAUUUAAGAAAACGAUCUCAUCUCCCGAAGACAUGUGUUUCGAUAUUGGUUUUUCUUUUUAUA